GUUUUCUUUCUUCUUG
rnacentral:sRNA from 1 species